rnacentral:lncRNA from 1 species
CUGUGAUUACAUGAGACCCAACUAGGUAAUUCAUGAUAAUCUGCAUAUUUUAAGGUUAGCUGAUUAAUUACAUUGGCUACCUCAAUUUCCCUUUGGCACCUUAAUUUCCCUUUGACAUGCAAGAUAAUUACAGGUUGCAGGGAUUAUUAGGGCAUAGAUAUUUUUGGAGGGCUGUCGUUCACAUGUGGUGAACUCUAUUUUUUCUCAAAUGUUAUAUCAACCUUGAAUUCAUAUGAGAUAAACCCCAUAUUGUCAUGAUGUAUUAAGCUUGUUCUUUAUUAAUAGACUUAAUUUGCUAAUAUUUUGUUAAUGACUUUUGCAUUUGUGUUCAUGAGGAAUAUUUGUCCAUAAAUUUCUUUUUUAAUAAUGUCUUUGUCAGCUUUUGGUAUCACGGUUUUGCCAGCCUAAAAGAAAAAGUUGAAAAGAAUUCUCUUCUACUUUCUACAUGAAUUUAGUUAUGAAAUAUUUUAGUGGAAGCAUAAAAGAAGAGGAGAAAGGGCUGGCUUGCAAUGUCCCAGAAACCAUACCAGGGCUUCACCACCAAGGCUCUUUCAUCCAAAGGCCCAACAUUCAAGAGAAGACUUCCCGUGAAAAGCAUAAACAAUUAUAUUUACACCUGUGGGGUAAACUGGAGAGAAUUUAAGGGGGCUUACAUGUAAAAGUCAUUGCAUUUCUCUGCAAUAUGUAAUUAUGAUGAUGAAAAUAAAAUGCAAGUAUUAAGAAAUAUUGCAUUUAUAUGAAACUUCUAAUACAAUCUUUGCAAAAAUAUUUGAUCAAAAUCCUAUGGCCCAGCACAGUGGCUCAAGCCUGUAAUCCUAGCACUUUGGGAGGCCUAGGGUGGAUUGCUUGGGCCCAGGAGUUCGAGACCAGCCUGGGCAACAUAGGGAAACCCCAUCUCUACAAAAAAUUUAAAAAAUUAGCCAGAUGUGGUGGCAGACACCUG